rnacentral:rRNA from 1 species
AGAGUUUGAUCCUGGCUCAGAAUCAACGCUGGCGGCGUGCCUAACACAUGCAAGUCGAGCGAGAAAAGGGUAGCAAUAUCCUGAGUACAGCGGCGCACGGGUGAGUAACACGUGGGUAAUCUGCCCUGGAGUGGGGAAUAACACCGGGAAACCGGUGCUAAUACCGCAUACGAUCACGAUGUCUGCGGAUGUUGUGAUGAAAGGAGCAAUUCGCUCCAGGAGGAGCCCGCGGCUGAUUAGCUAGUUGGUGAGGUAAUGGCUCACCAAGGCUACGAUCAGUAUCCGGUCUGAGAGGACGGUCGGACACACUGGAACUGAGACACGGUCCAGACUCCUACGGGAGGCAGCAGUGGGGAAUCUUGCGCAAUGGGCGAAAGCCUGACGCAGCAACGCCGCGUGUGUGAUGAAGGUCUUCGGAUCGUAAAGCACUGUCGCGAGGGAAGAGAAGCCCCGGACUAACAUGCCGGGGCUAGGACGGUACCUCGAGAGGAAGCACCGGCUAACUCUGUGCCAGCAGCCGCGGUAAUACAGAGGGUGCGA